rnacentral:tRNA from 1 species
AGUUAAUGAGCUUGAAAUAAGCUUAUGUUUUGAAAACAUAAGAUAGAAUUAAAAUAUUCUAUUAACUU